rnacentral:rRNA from 1 species
CAAUAGCGUAUAUUAAAGUUGUUGCAGUUAAAAAGCUCGUAGUUGAAUUUCUGUCAGGAGUGACCGGGCCUUUGGAUGAACUUCCAUUGUUUUUUGCUCUGUUUGUCAUCUCUAGACAUCCUGGAAUAUUUUUUUUUAAAUGUUCCUCUUUUACUGUUAGCAAAAUAGAGUGUUCCAAGCAAAGCGUAGUUUUGAAUACAUUAGAAUGGAAUAAUAAGAUAGGACUUUGGUGCUAUUUUGUUGGUUUGCACACCAAGGUAAUGAUUAAUAGGGACAGUUGGGGGUAUUCGUAUUUAAUUGUCAGAGGUGAAAUUCUUGGAUUUAUGAAAGACGAACUACUGCGAAAGCAUUUACCAAGGAUGUUUUCAUUAA